rnacentral:rRNA from 1 species
UAAGAAUAGGCUUAAGUUUGUUUUGAGGUUUUGAAUUAUUAAUUGAAAUAACAUUAUAGUUUAUGUUUUAGUAUAGAAAUAGAAUAAAUUUGUUUAUUUAUAGUGGAUUAGUAUUGUAAAAGAAAGUUGAAAAAUUUUGAAAAUUGCUUUUUAAGAAAGUAGAUAAUUUAUUGUACCUUGUGUAUCAGGGUUUAUUAAAAUUGGAAUAGGUAUUUAUUUUUCCCGAGUUAAGAAGAGCUAAUUUAUUAUGUUAGUUAAUGUGGUAUUAUUAUUAAUAAUAAUAAAUUUGUAAUGAAAUGUUAGUCGUUUUUUAAGAUAUCUGGUUCCCUGAGAAAUGAAUUCAAUUCAGUAUUUAGGAAUUAAUCUAUUAUUUUUAUUAUAGAUUAUCAACUAAAUAUAAUAUCUUAAGGGAUAAGCUUUAGGAUGGAUAUUAUAAUUAUUAUUUUAUAUUUAAAAUUGUAGGCUUUAAAUUAGCCAUCAUGGUAAUAAUGUUAUAAAUUAUUUUAUAUAAAUAUGAUUUUAUAAUAAUGUUAAAUAGUAGAUCAGGGUGAAUUAAAAAAUUGGAAUUUAUUUGUAAUAAUGAUAAAAUUAGUAUAU